GGUUCCAUAGUGUAGUGGUUAUCACGUCUGCUUUACGCGCAGAAGGUCCUGGGUUCGAUCCCCAGUGGAACCA
rnacentral:tRNA from 2 species